GUCCAGCUGACGGGUCCCAAACGGGAUGAAACACGUGUUCUGGAU
rnacentral:hammerhead_ribozyme from 1 species